ensembl:lncRNA
CAGCUAUUUAGGACAGAAACAUCCAAGGCCGUGUUAGAACUCAAUUACGACUACAUAUGCGUUAAAGCAGGAACUGGCAGGCCUCUGGACUACAGCAACUAUAGGACUUGGGCUUCUCGUACGCUGGGCCAUAAUUUAUGGAACUGAGCCCCAGAUCCAGCCAAUCAUUUAGCUCCUCAUAACAAGUCUGACUGGCUCUGGAAAGCUGAAAGGGCUGCACUAGAACAACAGAGAUGAGAUAUUCCACAUAACACUCAGCUUAUCUGGAAUCACUUUCCCUUGCAAGGCCAGAAAAAAAUCAUAGCUUUACUGCCCAAGGGAAGCACGACAAAGGACUGGGAAAUGCGACUUCACCUGGAGCAAGAUCUGUUAUGCUUUGGCAAGAUCAACCUCGCCGACCUUAAAGGACCCAGGUACCCCUGGGACACAGAGGGCAACCACAGCAGCAAAAACCCAAAGAUGGCUGACUGAAUUUAACUUGAGAUUUGACACCAAGAAGAAAAACAGAAACACAGGGAACAGAAAAAGUAAUCCAUUCAUAAUCCCCCCAAGAUCUGUUCUUUGAAUUGUCCAACUUGUGACUAACCAGGAAGGACUAUUCACUACGUUUAAAUAUUUUUUACUUAAUUAAACCUUUGUUUACUUGACAGUGCUGCUGCUCAUGGUGACUGUGUGAGAACUGAAACUUCUGAGGGAAGCCAGGUUGUUAAAAUUGUGAUUCCAUUUACUCAACAAUAACAAGGAUGAUCUAGUCUGAAAGGGAAAGCAUGCUCUUAAGGUAACGUUGGCAUUGAAUCUUCACACCCAGAAUUUUGUCAUUGAAUCCUCAACACCCAGAACUCCCUGUUUCUCAUUCCCCAAAUAAAAUUAUGUUAAGAUCUCUUCAAAUUCCAAUGUUCAAAUCAUUUUUCAAUAGACAAGACCAAGAAUACUCUAAACUAAGGCAUUUAAAUUAUUUCACAUGAUAGUUGCCCAGAAAUUUCCUACAGGAAAAUUUUACCUUUGACAACUUUGAAGAUAACCAUCUCCCCACUCAAAACAAUGGCAAGCAACCAACUAGCAAGUCUUUGAGUCAGAAG